GGUAACUACGUGCCAGCAGCUGGGGUAAUGCGUAGGGGCCGAGCGGUGUCCGGAAUCGUUUGGCGUAAAGAGCGUGUGGGCGGCCCCUUAAGUCCUGCGUGAAAUCCUGCGGCUCAACCGCAGACGGUCGUGGGAAAGUGGAGGGCUAGAGUGCGGGAGAGGAGAGUGGAAUUCCCAGUGUAGCGGUGAAAUGCGCAGAUAUUGGGAAGAACACCCGUGGCGAAGGCGGCUCUCUGGAACGCAACUGACGCUGAGACGCGAAAGCGUGGGGAGCAAACAGGAUUAGAUACUCGGGUAGUC
rnacentral:rRNA from 1 species